UUGUUGAUAGUCUAAAAAGGAUCUAAAUUUGUGGAAUUUAAGGUAGAUGAUUCUUCGGCAAA
rnacentral:tRNA from 1 species